rnacentral:rRNA from 1 species
AUUGAACGCUGGCGGAAUGCUUUACACAUGCAAGUCGAACGGUAGAGGGGGCAACCCCUUGAGAGUGGCGAACGGGUGAGUAAUAUAUCGGAACGUGCCCAGUCGUGGGGAUAACGUAGCGAAAGUUACGCUAAUACCGCAUACGAUCUAAGGAUGAAAGCGGGGGACUCGCAAGAGCCUCGCGCGAUUGGAGCGGCCGAUAUCAGAUUAGGUAGUUGGUGGGGUAAAGGCUCACCAAGCCAACGAUCUGUAGCUGGUCUGAGAGGACGACCAGCCACACUGGAACUGAGACACGGUCCAGACUCCUACGGGAGGCAGCAGUGGGAAUUUUGGACAAUGGACGCAAGUCUGAUCCAGCCAUUCCGCGUGCAGGAUGAAGGCCCUCGGGUUGUAAACUGCUUUUGUACGGAACGAAAGGUUUCUAUUAAUACU